CCGGCGUCUAAGGUAGGCAUCCACUACAAUACCUUACUGAUGAGUCCAGUAGUGGAAGCCGGGACGAAACGCCAA
rnacentral:hammerhead_ribozyme from 15 species